AAGGCGGCUCACUGGCCCGGUACUGACGGUGAGGUGCGAAAGCGUGGAGAGCAAUCAGGAUUAGAUACCUUGGUAGUCCACGCUGUAAACGAUGGAUGCUAGCCGUUGUCGGGUUUACUCGUCAGUGGCGCAGCUAACGCAUUAAGCAUCCCGCCUGGGGAGUACGGUCGCAAGAUUAAAACUCAAAGGAAUUGACGGGGGCCCGCACAAGCGGUGGAGCAUGUGGUUCAAUUCGAAGCAACGCGCAGAACCUUACCAGCCCCUUGACAUGUCCCAUAUGAGUACCAGAGAUGGAACUCUUCAGUUCGGCUGGCGGGAACACAGGUGCUGCAUGGCUGUUGUCAGCUCGUGUCGUGAGAUGUUGGGUUAAGUCCCGCAACGAGCGCAACCCUCGCCCUUAGUUGCCAUCAUUUAGUUGGGCACUCUAAGGGGACUGCCGGUGAUAAGCCGCGAGGAAGGUGGGGAUGACGUCAAGUCCUCAUGGCCCUUAUGGGCUGGGCUACACACGUGCUACAAUGGCGGUGACAGUGGGAUGCAGAGGGGUAACCCCGAGCAAAUCUCAAAAAGCCGUCUCAGUUCGGAUUGUGCUCUGCAACUCGAGCACAUGAAGUUGGAAUCGCUAGUAAUCGCAGAUCAGCACGCUGCGGUGAAUACGUUCCCGGGCCUUGUACACACCGCCCGUCACACCAUGGGAGUUGGCUUUACCUGAAGACGGUGCGCUAACCGCAAGGGAGCAGCCGGCCACGGUAGGGUCAGCGACUGGGGUGAAGUCGUAACAAGGUAACCA
rnacentral:rRNA from 1 species